AUCUUAAGAUGUCAUCAACCAAUAGAAAGCCGUAUUCUUAAGACGUUACUUAAGACGAUCUUGAAAUAAGAAUCUACUAUGAAUACCGACCUAUACAUUUGUCUUUGGUUAUAAUCACGGGUGAAAUCUGUUGUUUGACUUAUAAAAGGGUUAACAAACUAAUGCGAUUUUGUUGUUUGUCUAAUAAGCUUUCUACAAUAAGCUAUUGUAUAGUCGAUGGCAUAAGUUGUAAGCCAUAAGAAUUGACUAAUCACAGUCGAAUAUGAAGAGAAUAUUCGACUAAUAUUGACACCGACUAAUAACUUAUUGUAGAAAGCUCAUAAAAGAAAAAGCACACGGGAUAAGAUUAUUUUACAUAAAUUUCUGAAAGAUUCGCCUAUACAUCAAAGAUGGAUUAAGGCUUGCGAAUUGCGUGAUAAUAAAUGGAAGCUGCAUCAGAAAAUGAAUGUUUUAUGGAAACUACUUCAAAACGAGUCACCACAGAUACAUCUAUGUCAUUAUUCACCAAAAAUACCGAUCAUGAAGUUGCCUUCCUGAGAACUGUUUUGAAAAGUACAAAGACAAUGUACAAAAAUAAGAUUUUGACUCUCCAACGGAAAAUAUGGAGAAAAGAUGGAUGAAUUAGGCAGCUGAAGAACAUACUGAUAAUGUUGCAGUAGAAGGAUUUUAUUUCUGAUGAGAAUCUAAAUGCCCUGGAAGAUUGAGGAAGAUUGAAGUAUUACA
rnacentral:lncRNA from 13 species